rnacentral:rRNA from 1 species
AUUGAACGCUGGCGGCAGGCCUAACACAUGCAAGUCGAACGAGUGGCGGACGGGUGAGUAAUGUCUGGGAAACUGCCCGAUGGAGGGGGAUAACUACUGGAAACGGUAGCUAAUACCGCAUACCAUCGGAUGUGCCCAGAUGGGAUUAGCUAGUAGGUGGGGUAAUGGCUCACCUAGGCGACGAUCACUAGCUGGUCUGAGAGGAUGAUCGAGCAGACGGGAACUGAGACACGGUCCAGGUGCGUGCGGGAGGCAGCAGUGGUGAAUAAUGCACAAUGGGCGGAAGCCUGUUGCAGCCAUGCCGCGUAUAUGACGAAGGCCUUCGGGUUGUAAGAUACUGUCAGCGGGGCGGCGUUACUCGCAGAAGAAGCACCGGCUAACUCCGUGCCAGCAGCCGCGGUAAUAC